AACGAACGCUGGCGGCAGGCCUAACACAUGCAAGUCGAGCGAGGUCUUCGGUCUUAGUGGCGCACGGGUGAGUAACGCGUGGGAAUAUACCUUACGCUGGGGAAUAACAUCGGGAAACUGAUGCUAAUACCGGAUACGCCCUUCGGGGGAAAGAUUUAUCGGCGAAGGAUUAGCCCGCGUCCGAUUAGCUAGUUGGUGAGGUAAUGGCUUACCAAGCCGCCGAUCCGUAGCUGGUCUGAGAGGAUGACCAGCCACACUGGGACUGAGACACGGCCCAGACUCCUACGGGAGGCAGCAGUGGGGAAUAUUAGACAAUGGGCGCAAGCCUGAUCCAGCCAUGCCGCGUGAGUGAUGAAGGCCUUAGGGUUGUAAAGCUCUUUCAGCUACGACGAUGAUGACGGUAGUAGCAGAAGAAGCCCCGGCUAACUUCGUG
rnacentral:rRNA from 1 species